rnacentral:rRNA from 1 species
CGUAGGUGGCGAGCGUUGUCCGGAAUUACUGGGUGUAAAAGGGCGUGUAGGCGGGGAGACAAGUCAGAUGUGAAAUACCGUGGCUUAACCACGGGGCUGCAUCUGAAACUGUUUUUCUUGAGUGUCGGAGAGGAAAGUGGAAUUCCCAGUGUAGCGGUGAAAUGCGUAGAUAUUGGGAGGAACACCAGUGGCGAAGGCGACUUUCUGGACGAUAACUGACGCUGAGGCGCGAAAGCGUGGGGAGCAAACAGGAUUAGAUACCCUGGUAGUCCACGCUGUAAACGAUGGAUACUAGGUGUGGGAGGUAUCGACCCCUUCCGUGCCGCAGCUAACACAAUAAGUAUCCCACCUGGGGAGUACGGCCGCAAGGUUG